rnacentral:SRP_RNA from 1 species
GCUAAGUGUGGUGGCAGAUGCCUGUGAUCUCUGCUACUGGGUAGGCUGAGGCUGGUGGAUUACUGGAGCUUAGGAGCUCUGAGUUGCAGCAGAGCUAAAGCUGAAUGGGUGUCCACACUAAGUUGUACACUAAUAUAGGGGACCGCUGGAAAUAGGUGGCCACUUGGUUGCCUAAGGAGAGAAGAACUGGCCUACAUCAGAAAUGAAACAGGUCAAUCAACAGUGGGGCCCCAUGUGUGGCUGCUGUACUUCUAGCUUAGAAAAGAUAGGGAUGA